rfam:Acidobacteria bacterium 13_1_40CM_4_58_4 13_1_40cm_4_scaffold_5484, whole genome shotgun sequence.
GGGCCCGUAGCUCAGCGGUUAGAGCAGUGGACUCAUAAUCCAUUGGUCCCAGGUUCAAAUCCUGGCGGGCCCA